AAAGUCGUAAAAACCUGCGGCUGGAUCAUUAAUCAUUAAAAAGGAACCGUGCGUUCGAUGGUCGCCUACCCCCUCUAAAAAGGAUACAGUCAGCCAGCAAAAAGUAGCGGACACUUGUUAUAAAUUGGUUAUAUUUUUUGUCCGCUGCUUUUUCCUCACUGACUGUAUUAUGGGGCGGCAUGGUCGCGUAGGUUUCUCUUCAAAGACACCCGGGCCUCCCACAUCAUAUAGCCAUACAUCACAGGAGGUGGAACAAGCUAGUAAUAACAACGUUCUCCUUACGAUGAAGAACGCAGC
rnacentral:misc_RNA from 1 species